rnacentral:rRNA from 1 species
AGAGUUUGAUCAUGGCUCAGAUUGAACGCUGGCGGCAUGCCUGACACAUGCAAGUCGAACGGCAGCGCGGGUAGCUUGCUACCUGGCGGCGAGUGGCGGACGGGUGAGUAAUGCAUAGGAAUCUGCCCAGUAGUGGGGGACAACGCGGGGAAACUCGCGCUAAUACCGCAUACGACCUUCGGGUGAAAGUGGGGGACCUUCGGGCCUCACGUUAUUGGAUGAGCCUAUGUCUGAUUAGCUUGUUGGUGGGGUAACGGCCUACCAAGGCGACGAUCAGUAGCUGGUCUGAGAGGACGAUCAGCCACACUGGGACUGAGACACGGCCCAGACUCCUACGGGAGGCAGCAGUGGGGAAUAUUGGACAAUGGGGGCAACCCUGAUCCAGCAAUGCCGCGUGUGUGAAGAAGGCCUGCGGGUUGUAAAGCACUUUCGGUAGGGACGAAAAAAGACAGGCUAAUACCCUGUUUCUUGACUUAACCUAUAGAAGAAGCACCGGCUAACUUCGUGCCAGCAGCCGCGGUAAUACGAAGGGUGCAAGCGUUAAUCGGAAUUACUGGGCGUAAAGCGCACGCAGGCGGCGACAUAAGUCAGAUGUGAAAGCCCUGGGCUUAACCUGGGAAUUGCAUUUGAAACUGUGUUGCUAGAGUGUGGGAGAGGGAAGUGGAAUUCCAGGUGUAGCGGUGAAAUGCGUAGAUAUCUGGAGGAACAUCAGUGGCGAAGGCGACUUCCUGGACCAACACUGACGCUCAGGUGCGAAAGCGUGGGGAGCAAACAGGAUUAGAUACCCUGGUAGUCCACGCCGUAAACGAUGAGAACUAGCCGUUGGGAGCUUUAAGCUUUCAGUGGCGCAGCUAACGCGUUAAGUUCUCCGCCUGGGGAGUACGGCCGCAAGGUUGAAACUCAAAUGAAUUGACGG